GCCAGCAGCCGCGGUAAUACCGGCGGCUCGAGUGGUGGCCACUUUAUUGGGCUUAAAGCGUUCGUAGCUGGGUUAUUAAGUCCCUUGGGAAAUCCGACAGCUUAACUGGUCGGGCGUCUAAGAGAUACUGGUAAUCUUGGAACCGGGAGAGGUGAGGGGUACUUCGGGGGGUAGGAGUGAAAUCCUGUAAUCCUCGAGGGACCACCUGUGGCGAAGGCGCCUCACCAGAACGGCUUCGACAGUGAGGGACGAAAGCGUGGGGGAGCAAACCGGAUUAGAUACCCGGGUAGUCCCAGCCGUAAACGAUGUGCGUUAGGUGUAUCGGUGACCACGAGUCACCGAGGUGCCGAAGGGAAACCGUGAAACGUACCGCCUGGGAAGUACGGUCGCAAGGCUGAAACUUAAAGGAAUUGGCGGGGGAGCACCACAACAGGUGGAGCCUGCGGUUUUUAAAUUGGACUCAACGCCGGAAAUCUCACCGGAUAAGACAGCAGAAUGAUUGCCGGGCUGAAGACUCUGCAUGACUAGCUGAGAGGUGGUGCAUGG
rnacentral:rRNA from 1 species